rnacentral:lncRNA from 1 species
CUAGGGAUUUCUGGAAUUUACUCUGGGACCAAGCUGACAAUUUUGGAAAAGCAUUACCUUUUUAGAGAUCAUAACCUUUUGGGAAAACCAGAAUUUCCAAAACCUUUUGGAGAAAAAUGGCAUUCACAACCAUUUGUGAGCCAAAAACUCAUUUGAGUAAAGUCUUCUCUUCAGUGGUAUAUAUCCACAUGUAUUUAUGCAAGGCAAUUUGGUUUUUCAGUUGUUAGACUGAUAACCUAGUUGUCUCUGAUCUGUUCGGAACUGAGAUUAUGCCAAUGCAUAAAAUAUAGCAUUUCUUCAUAAGUGUUUAUUUUCAGUGCCCAAAAACAUCUACUCUCCCAUAAAAUAUCUUGUUUCUAUAUCAGCUCUCUAGAGACAAAAAUAAAGUAGACUUUGUUAAAAGUAACAUAUUUGGUUUACUCACAACUUUCAUGUAUUCAGCAUACAGGUACAUAACUUGUCAAUCCAGUUACAGAUAAGUUUGAAGUAAUUUCUCUGUGCAGAUAACACAGGGCAUCUUUCUUAUAAUCAAGAGCAACAUGAGUUUGCGCUUAACAGUCCAAAGUCUCAUUGUGUCUCACUGUGUUUGUGCUCUAAUGGAGUCUGAGGCAUCUCAUGGCUAAAGCAUUUCUGUGUUCAAAAAUGGAGUCUCAGCCCAGAAUAGUCCCAGAUCUGAUCAUGUGGUCUGCAGCCCCUCCCACAAUCUCAAAAAACAUAGAAUAAGGGGAAAGCUGCAUACCAAAACAUACGUAUACAAUACAGUAAGCAAACAGAAUCAUAUACAAAACAAAUUACUAGUGGAGGCUUGAAAAAGGUUGCUAUUGCCAACAGACAAUUUCUACAUUCUUAAAUUGGAUGAAUUUCUUUGUUAAAAGAUGCUUAAGAGAUUCAGAAAAUGAUGUAAUUAAUUACUAUUAGAAAUCCUACUGGAUGAUGACACUAAAAAUAUUCUUUUAUCCCCUUUCCAGGAACUGCAGCAAAUUCUUCUUUCCAGGAACUGCAUUUCAUUGUCUAAUUUUUAGAUGUUUCCCUGAAACAGGAUUUAAGAUGGACAAAAACUUCACUCCUCUACACAAUCCACGCACAAUCCAUGAUCCCUCAUCCAGCAUGGUCUGUGAGUAUUUAUUUGUAGUCCAAAAUGUAACUUUCCCAAGCUCUGGAAUUAUUGUUUUUUACAGAAUUUGUUGCUAUCAGGGGUGGUGAUUAUCAAUCGAUUUUUAAAAUGAUGUUAAAAGUAUGUAACAUUUAUGGAUGCUGGAUUUAUUAGCAACAUUAACCAAAUAAAACCCCAAACAAGUGUAACUAUGUGGUAACAACUCCCCCAUGCUAAUAAUCACCAUAUCCUUGAAUAUGCCGAAUAAAAUGAACUAAUGUAUUGUGCAGCUAUUGCUGAGUUUGUGUAUGGCAUCACUCUGUGUUUAUUCUAAUAAUUUUGCAUUCUGGUGUAUUUGACAGACCUCAGGACUAUUACUUUUUCCUGCCCUGCAUUUGAUUUAGUAUUAUAUAGGUGGCGCAAUGGGUUAAACCCUUGUGCUGGCAGAACUGCUGACUAAAAGGUUGGCAGUUCGAAUCCGGGGGGGGUGAGCUCCCUUCUGUCAGCUCUAGCUCCCCAUGCAGGGACAUGAGAGAAGCAUCCCACAGGUUGGUAAAACAUCAAACAUCCGGGCAUCCCCUGGGCAACGUCCUUGCGGACAGCCAAUUCUCUCACACCAGAAACGACUUGCAGUUUCUCAAGUAGCUCCUGACACAGAAAAAAAAGUAUUAAAUAAGAGUCCUUUGAGUUAGAUAGCAUGAUAAAAACAACUCAGAAGUAAGGCACAUGAUUACACCAUAAAGGGGUACUAGAUGCUCCACCAAAGUUUUAAACUCUUCAGCUAGCUAAGACUCUCGUAAGGAACCAGAUGUUCAGGUUGUUUCAACACUAAGUACGCACAGUAUCAUUAAAACUGUUAUUUUUUUCUCAAAAGUGUUCUUUUUGGCUCUCUGUGAACUCUUAGGAUCUUAGUUGUUUAGGAAACAUAACAGAGAGGUUGCUUGGGUAACCAGAAGCUGACCACCUACAGUUAGCUCAUCUGUCAAUGAAAUCCAAAGUUGCAUGACAUGAAACAGGAGUCUACAUGGACAUUACCAUGGAUCCACUGUUGUGUACCACGUACACAAAAUAGAUGAUAUGGAAUACUCAAAACAGGGUCUAUGGUGGGAGCAAAUU